CGGCAGUAAGUCAGCUACUCCAGGGCAGGUGUUGUGAGGCAUAGAGGGGGCACGGGAGGUGGGUUGGGGUGUUGAAGGAUGGCACGUGUUGUUUGAAUAAAAGUAUAAAUGAACAAAUAAAUGAGACGGCCCAGUGCUCCUGCAGGGAAUGCUGUUUUUAUUUGUUUUUUUGUUUGUUUGUUUGAGACAGAGUCUCACUCUGUCCCCCAGGCUGGAGUGCAGUGGCACGAUCUCCGCUCCCUGCAACCUCCGCCUCCCGGGUUCAAGCGAUUCUCCUGCCUCAGCCUCCCCAGUAGCUGGGAUGACAGGCGCCCAUCACCACGCCCGGCUAUUUUUUUGUAUUUUUAGUAGAGACGGGGUUUCACUAUGUUGGCCAGGCAGAUCUUGAACUCCUGACCUCCUGAUCUGUCAGCCUCAGCCUCCCAAAGUGCUGAGAUUACAGGCGUGAGCCACCGUGCCCAGCCUGGGAACACUGUUUUUAGGGUUCUUAACAGCCAUACGCCUCUUGGCUUGUGCGCGUCUCGGCUUGCGGGUAAAGGCCAGGCGCCCCGCUGCGUGCCUCGGGCCGUGCCUCGUGAUCUCCUCAGAAGGCUCUCAAGGUCACCUUUUAACAACUGCAUCUUUUUUCCAGUAACGAAUCCAGAAAACUCUGGAGAGCCCUUCAGAGCAUACACACCACGUCUACUUCUCAGCGCCUCUGGAGCGAGUCCCGUUGCCAGGAGAACUUCUUUCUUGUUCUUGGAAUAGAUGCUGCGCAGAAGAACCUUUCUGGAGGCCAGGGCCACAUCAUGGAAGAUUGUGACCUCAAAGAGCCUGAAGGACUCCUCACUGUCAGCAGCUUCUGUCUCCAGCAUUGCAAAGCCCUGAUCCAGACCAAGCUCUCGGGGCCGCCUGGCAGCAAACAGGGGAGGCUGAUGACAUGCAGCCGCUUCCUGAAGACCCCCUCAUGCGGAGGUGGCCAGCACAUCACUAUUCCAAGGAAAAGGAUGUUCACUCCACGCAAGCUCAAAUUGACACUCUUUAAUAGCGACGUUUGCUAAAAUCAGGAGGACUUUGUACCUUUAUGAGGAAUUUUUCAUUUUCUUCCUGGCUGGAUUGAUGUGGAAACCAGAGCUGUCUGUGGAGCUGUUUUCCAGACCCCAGGCCCAUUCCUGGGAUCUCUCCAACAGGACCUGUCCUGUGUUCUGGGCUCGUCUCGGGUCUGACCAGGAGAUGGAGGAUGUGUCCUUGGCAGAGCCAAGGGGAGACAGAGGUUUCUGGGUGCCAUGACAGGCUGUCGGGGUCCAGGUGGCACCCAUGGGCCCCCUGCCCCAUGUGAAUGCUGCUGGCACCUGGUGGGGGUUGCUCAGGGAUGGACCCUGGGCAUGGCUUCUGGGCUGCUUAGUCCAGGGGGAGCAACUUGUGGCCAAAUCCAUGAGUUCAGAGGAAAAGGGGAAGGCACUGAAACGUCACCAGAGAGACAGCUGUUGAGACCGCUCAGAAACCGUCUGUCUGUCACACUGUGUCCUGGCUGCUGUGUGGUCAGGGCACCAUGAGGGUGUACAGAUGUGCUGUGUCCUCAAAGCCUCGCAGGUGCCCUCACUUAUUGCCUGGGCCCCUGCCCAGCAGCCUCAAGGACAGGCCUUUCUCCCUCACGGUUGUGGACAGGAGGUCGCACCACUGGCCUGCGAGAGCCUCUGGUGGGCCCGUGGCUUCCCCCAGUUAUCUGCCAAGGAAAACUGUGCUCUUUGAAGGGCAGAGCCAAGAAGUCAGCCCUGACUUUUGUAAAAUUUUAUUAAAU
rnacentral:lncRNA from 1 species